rnacentral:rRNA from 1 species
CCAGACUCCUACGGGAGGCAGCAGUGGGGAAUAUUGCACAAUGGGGGGAACCCUGAUGCAGCGACGCCGCGUGGGUGAAGGAGUAUUUCGGUAUGUAAAGCCCUAUCAGCAGGGAAGAACAAUGACGGUACCUGACUAAGAAGCACCGGCUAAAUACGUGCCAGCAGCCGCGGUAAUACGUAGGGGGCAAGCGUUAUCCGGAUUUACUGGGUGUAAAGGGAGCGUAGACGGAAAGGCAAGUCAGAAGUGAAAGCCCAGGGCUCAACCGUGGGACUGCUUUUGAAACUGUCAAACUAGAGUACGGGAGAGGUAAGAGGAAUUCCUAGUGUAGCGGUGAAAUGCGUAGAUAUUAGGAGGAACACCAGUGGCGAAGGCGUCUUACUGGACCGAAACUGACGUUGAGGCUCGAAAGCGUGGGGAGCAAACAGGAUUAGAUCCCCCGGUA